GGGUGCAAACCGUGAGGACUGUGUGAAAAAUGGGAUGAAGAAAAGAGUUCUUACAAACAGGUUGAUGGCCAUGAUGAACAUGGAUGGGACAGGGCCAAAGAAAGAAUGCCUUUGGCAAAACACAGCUCUGCCAAGUUAUAACAGGUGCUGUACAGCAGUCAGACCCAGCAUCAUCAGAGGCUGAUAUAAAAAAAGACAUCAAGAACUAUCUCCGAUCUGCUCCUGACAGAUAUGGGGGUAUGGGACACCAAAAGGGCCAAACAGC